AUACUUACCUGGCAAGGUCUCGAGAUACCAUGACUGUGAGGGUGCCUUUCCCGGGGCGAGGAUCAUCCGCUGCGCCCGGAUGUCCUGACCCCUGCGAUUUCCCCAAACGUGGGAAACUCGACUGCAUAACUUGUGUUAGUGGGGGACUGCAUUCGCGCUUUCCCCUG